rnacentral:lncRNA from 1 species
AGAAAAGGGAGUCCAUGGGGGACUGAGAACCUGUUAAGAUCUGUUAUCACGAUAGGCGUUCAGAGAAUAGAGGUUAUUACAAUUAGCGUAUCAAGGAUAUACCUAAAAUGUUACUAUGAUUCUUGAUUGCGUUGUUACCAUGAAUGGUAAUACUAAGAUGUCUCUAAUGCUUAUUUUCUGCCAAGUGAUUGAAACCUCCUUUGGUUCUCAGAACACCUCUGCUGUAUGACGGGCCUUGAUAAUAUUCCCUCUGUGGAUGAGAGGAACCCAGCGCUGAGAAGUCAUUAGGGACAGUCUUCUUCCACCUUUCUGCUCUACCACCGUCCAGGUAAAGCUUUCAUCCCCAAGGCUAUAAGAGCUGCUGGAGCGCGAGACAUUACAGCAGAAUUUCCAAGCAGGAAGCAGGAGCCCCAAGUCGACUGCAUUUCCAAGGGCUUCGCGCUGUCAUUAUCUUCUGCGGACUUGCCCCCCAGGAACCAAGUAGCCUGUCGCCUUCGGUGCGUUUCCUCUGCUCUGAACCGAGGCUGCACCGAGCGCUAACCUGCAACCUGAGAGGGAGUUUGCAACCCGAGCAAGCGUGGAAAAUCCCUGUGUUGUUUCCGACAGGAUCUGAUUGUAACACCGAUCCCAUAGUUAAUUGCAGUUCCCUCACUGGGCUUAUUAACUCCUCUCUACUUGGGGAAGGCACCCAAGCCAUUUUUUGCUUAUUUUAAGAAGAUGGUGGGCAAGAUUAGGGAAUGAGCUGAGGGUAAAGGAAGUGUACAAAUCGACAUUUGUUUGCAGGGAGGCACUGUGCUUUGGGGGACCCUGACGGUAAGGAGUUCAGGUGCGUGUGAAACUCAGCACUACAGAGGUUAGUUAACACAUCAGCCCUGUUCAGGGCUCAGCCUUGACCUGGAUUCCUCCUCAUAUUGGACCCUGGGCUCUGGUCCGUUCUCACCGGAGCCCUGCUGGGGCCGCUGGCUGGUGCAGAGACCUCCCUAGCCAGGGCCAGCCGUGUCCUCUGUGGCUGGAGGGACAGGUGCCAAUGAAGGGGCUCAGUGUGGCCGAGAGCAGCAUGUCCAAGACUUAGCCUGGCCCCAGGUGGUUUUCUUCCCACGUGGAAGCUCAAAGUCUCUGCUGAGAUUUUUUUUUUCAACGUUUAUUUAUUUUUGGGACAGAGAGAGACAGAGCAUGAAUGGGGGAGGGGCAGAGAGAGAGGGAGACACAGAAUCGGAAACAGGCUUCCAGGCUCUGAGCCAUCAGCCCAGAGCCUGACGCGGGGCUCGAACUCACGGACCGCGAGAUCGUGACCUGGCUGAAGUCCGACGCUUAACCGACUGCGCCACCCAGGCACCCCGUCUGCUGAGAUUUUUAAACAGUGCACUUAAAGAGCCUGCUCUCUGUCUGAUCUUGUUAGAAGACGCCAUCCCCUUCCCUCUGUGGCCACUUACACCUUUGUGACUAAGUGGGCUUGGGUCCCUAAUAUCCCCAUAAGAGGGGUUACUUACACUUCCACAAAC